CAAAUUUUGUGAAUGUACAGAAGGGUGAUAUUGUCAUUUACCCUCUAAAUUAAACGCUGCGUUUUAUUUAGGGUGUUCUCUGUAUUUAGUUUUCCAGUUGGUCUGAUUUCACAUUUUGGAAGCUAGGGUUGGGGUGAUAGAGAAGCGGAGAAGUGGAAGAGCGUGUUGUGGUAGGGUUCGGUUGAUAGAGAAGGCGAGAACUCCAUGGGUGCCACUUAAUCGGAGGGUGUAUGGUUCUUCUUUGUUUCUUCUUUUGUCAUGAUUUUUGUAUUUUUUCCAUUUGUAUUUGCUUCAUUUUGGUGAACCCUAGACUAAAGGGGGCAAGGUGGUCUGAGGGAGAGUUGCAGUAGGGAGAACACUAAAUUCUCAAUCCGUGACGAGCACUGAGAGAAGACGGUUUGGGGAGUUAUCUCUGUCUAAUUUGAAAACUGUGUUUGAAUGUCUAAUUUGGCAUAUUAUUUUGGUUAGUUUCCCUGUUUGACAAAUUUGAUUGUCCUGUAUUGUAAACUAAUAUUGAUUUAUGACAAAUAUGGUUUGCUUGAUUUGUAACUUGUGUCGUGUCUGAUGCGUGCGAAAUGCAAUGCUGGUUUUCGGAGGGAUGCAUUUUAUUAGAGGUGGUUGUCAAUGUCUGAAAAAGGGAUACCUAUUAAGGAUUGUAACCAACGAGGGAGUUGAUUGAAGUGGAAUAUUUACAUUUGGUUUCUCCCCUGAAUAGGUAGCUGUUGAGAGUGAAUUUCCGUAGUGCUUGAGUAUUUCUCACAUUGAAUCAUCCAAUAUUUAGAAGCUUUUGAGUAAAAUUACUUUGACUUUUUGGAUUUUAUCAUCUGAAAACCCUUAUUUGUAGACCUGCUUAGUUUGGUUUUCAGAUGGUAACAAUGAAAGCAAUUUUAGUGUUCCUCUUUGAAAAUUGUAUGGAUUUCUCCCUUUUGUUUUGUUUUUUCUUCUGUAUGGUUUAUACAAUGUCAUCAACAUCUUCUUGAAUUAGUUUAAAUGCACGUCCACUGGCAACUAACUUUUUGCAUUCUCUUCAUGAUAGGUGGCUGCACUUGUUCCUAAAGGUGAUGUUGAUGGUGAAAUGGGUGAUGCUCACAUGAAUUGAUGAGUCAGGCACUUAGAAAAUUGAGGCAUGCCUUAUCACAGACAUAACAUAUCUCUUUUCCAUCCUUUUUUUCAAGUCAAAGCAUAGAGAUAGUUGGAACAAUCAUUAUGGAAGAACAGGUUUAUGCACGACAUUCAUGCAGGACAAAAUACUUGGCACAUGUGAAUACAUUAUUAACG
rnacentral:sRNA from 1 species